UAGGCUGCAACUCGCCUACAUGAAGUCGGAGUUGCUAGUAAUCGCGGAUCAGAAUGCCGCGGUGAAUGCGUUCCCGGGUCUUGUACACACCGCCCGUCACACCAUGGAAGUUGGGGGCGCCCGAAGUUGCCUAAGAAAUAAGGUACCUAAGGCGAAACCAAUGACUGGGGUGAAGUCGUAACAAGGUAAC
rnacentral:rRNA from 1 species